UACGUAGGGGGGCAAGCGUUGUCCGGAUUUACUGGGCGUAAAGAGCGCGUAGGUGGCUUGUUGCGUCUGCCGUGAAAGCCCGUGGCUUAACUACGGGUCUGCGGUGGAUACGGGCAGGCUAGAGGCUGGUAGGGGCAAGCGGAAUUCCUGGUGUAGCGGUGAAAUGCGCAGAUAUCAGGAGGAACACCGGUGGCGAAGGCGGCAUCCUGGACCGGCAUUGACGCUGAGGCGCGAAAGCCAGGGGAGCAAACGGG
rnacentral:rRNA from 1 species